AUUCCUACGGGGGGCAGCAGUGAGGAAUAUUGGUCAAUGGGCGGGAGCCUGAACCAGCCAAGUCGCGUGAGGGAAGACGGUCCUACGGAUUGUAAACCUCUUUUGCCGGGGAGCAACGGGGUCCUUGCGAGGGCCCGAUGAGAGUACCCGGAGAAAAAGCAUCGGCUAACUCCGUGCCAGCAGCCGCGGUAAUACGUAGGGGGCAAGCGUUAUCCGGAAUUACUGGGUGUAAAGGGAGCGUAGACGGCUGUGCAAGUCUGGAGUGAAAGGCGGGGGCCCAACCCCCGGACUGCCCUGGAAACUGG
rnacentral:rRNA from 1 species